rnacentral:rRNA from 1 species
UACGUAGGGUGCGAGCGUUGUCCGGAAUUAUUGGGCGUAAAGAGCUCGUAGGCGGCUCGUUGCGUCGGCUGUGAAAACCCGCAGCUCAACUGUGGGCUUGCAGCUGAUACGGGCGGGCUUGGAUUCGGUAGGGGAGACUGGAAUUCCUGGUGUAGCGGUGAAAUGCGCAGAUAUCAGGAGGAACACCGGUGGCGAAGGCGGGUCUCUGGGCCGAUAUCGACGCUGAGGAGCGAAAGCGUGGGGAGCGAACAGG